AUAGCUGGUGAUAAUCACCUGGAGUUAUGACUGUGUCUAAUCUCAUAAACUAAGCAGAGUCAGGAUGGGUCAGUACUUGUAUAUGAGACUCCCAAGGAAAACCCAUGGACAGCAGGA
rnacentral:rRNA from 1 species